rnacentral:lncRNA from 1 species
CUUGUUUUCUACCUGAAGACUUUCACGACGUACUGAUGUUUGUUGUUUAAUUUUAAUUCUGUGUGCAUCAUCAUUUGCAUACUUUUGUAUACUUGCUUGUUUCACAUGUUCCUUGUGCUUUUCAUCUGUUUUAUACUUGUGUAUACUUUCUUGUUUCACAUGUUCCUUGUGCUUUUCAUCUGCUUUAUACUUGUGUACACUUGCUUGUUUCAGCUUUUCCCUGUACUCAUUGUCUUCAUUAUAUUUCUCAAUUCC